rnacentral:rRNA from 1 species
AGAAGAAGCACCGGCUAACUUCGCGCCAGCAGCCGCGGUAAUACGUAGGGUGCGAGCGUUAAUCGGAAUUACUGGGCGUAAAGGGUGCGCAGGCGGUUUUGUAAGUCAGAUGUGAAAUCCCCGGGCUUAACCGGGGAAGUGCGUUUGAAACUACAAGGCUAGAGUGGGGGAGAGGGGGGGGAAAUUCCGGGUGUAGCGGUGAAAUGUGUAGAUAUGUGGAGGAACACCGAUGGGGGAAAAGGCUGCCCCNUGGGCUAACACUCACGCUGAGGCACGAAAGCGUGGGGAGCAAACAAGAUUAGAUCCCCGGGUACUCCACGCCCUAAACUAUGUCAACUAGUUGUCGGGCAUUCACGGGCUUGGUAACGAAGCUAACGCGUGAAGU